rnacentral:rRNA from 1 species
UCCAGACUCCUACGGGAGGCAGCAGUCGGGAAUAUUGCACAAUGGAGGAAACUCUGAUGCAGUGACACCGCGUAUAGGAAGAAGGUUUUCGGAUUGUAAACUAUUCUAGACAGGGAAGAAAAAAGACAGUACCUGUAGAAUAAGCUCCGGCUAACUACGUGCCAGCAGCCGCGGUAAUACGUAGGGAGCAAGCGUUAUCCGGAAUUAUUGGGUGUAAAGGGUGCGUAGACGGGACAGCAAGUUAGUUGUGAAAGCACUCGGCUUAACUGAGGAACUGCAACUAAAACUAUUGUUCUUGAGUGCAGGAGAGGAAAGCGGAAUUCCGAGUGUAGCGGUGAAAUGCGUAGAUAUUAGGAGGAACACCAGUGGCGAAGGCGGCUUUCUGGACUGUAACUGACGUUGAGGCACGAAAGUGUGGGGAGCAAACAGGAUUAGAUACCCGAGUA